rnacentral:snRNA from 1 species
AUCUUGGUGCAUGGGCUUUACGCAUGCCAGUGAGGAUUCGUCCGAGGCUGUGUUUUUGCUAGUUGAAAACUACUACAUGACCGCUCCUAAUCGACUUAGGUCGGUUAGGGAAUUUUUGGAACAUAAUCCACUCU